UACGUAGGAGGCAAGCGUUGUCCGGAAUUACUGGGUGUAAAGCGCGUGUAGGCGGCCCGGUAAGUCCGCUGUGAAAGUCCAGGGCUCAACCCUGGGAUGCCGGUGGAUACUGUCGGGCUCGAGUCCGGAAGAGGCGAGUGGAAUUCCUGGUGUAGCGGUGAAAUGCGCAGAUAUCAGGAGGAACACCAAUGGCGAAGGCAGCUCGCUGGGACGUGACUGACGCUGAGACGCGAAAGCGUGGGGAGCAAACAGG
rnacentral:rRNA from 1 species